rnacentral:lncRNA from 1 species
CGCGAGCCACUGCACCCGGCUCCACUCCACUCCUUGUUGCUGUCGGGUGGGACAGCAAGGCUGGAGCCCAGCAUCCAAUUAGGAAACAAGGUGGAAAUCCAGGGCCAAGCCCCAUGGCUGCCAGUUGCCCUCGUAAUUAAAGACACACACAUUAAAGACAGCUCCGAGGUGCCAUUAAACAUCCAUUAAACUGGCAAAAAAUAAAUCCAAAAGGUAAAACUCAACUCUAGUUGGCAACUGCAGCAGAGAACACAGCACAGGUCACAGGUGGCUCAGAGGCAACAGCCCUCACACCUGGCUCCCUGUCCCUGCCCUGAAUUGUUCCAUGUGGGAACUGGGCCACACUGGUCAGCUUCAUCAAAGAUAGAUUUGCCAAAUUGGCAUACAAUUCACAUGUCAUAAAAUUCACUCUCUAAAAGCGUACAAGUCAGCACGGUCUCAGAAUUUCCUGAGACCAAUAAAACCUCCGGAGCCCUUUGACCCAGCACUCCAGCGUUUGGGAAUAAGCCCUGUAGAAGGAGCCCAAGAGGAAACAAAAAUAGAAGUGUGUCCAAAGCUGGAAGCUGCCCCAGCCAAACACUGGAAACACCCAGCUCUCCACCAAGAUAAACCACGCGAGCCACAGCUUGCGGGCAAUAUCCCAUCUCCAUCCUCACCACUGCUCAGCCCAGACCUCCCUCAUCUUCCUGGCCUGCAGACCUUAGCAGUGGCUGUUCCCACCCCUGGAACACCCUUCCCACCUGGUACCUGAUGCCUGCAGGGCCCAUGCACGGCAUAUUCACUGCUGUAUCCCCAGAGCCUCGCACAGUGCCUGGUGCAGAGAUGAUUUUCAGCAAAGAGGCACUGAAGGGAAGAUACCUAUGUGACUGUGAGGAGACACAGGCUGGACGAUGAAUGUGAUGGCUGGAACUCAAGCAGCCACAGUGGAUCAUAAGGGACGGUGUCUUGCUAUGUUGUCCAAGCUGGUCUCAAACUGGCCUGAAUCAAUGCUUCCACCUCAGCUGCCAGAGGAACCGGGAUUACAGGCCUGAGCCACUGCAGCCAGCCAGUUUGUUAUUUUAAUGUAAAUUCUUAGUAAACAACUCAGGAGCUCUCUUGUCCUUUUAAAAUCCAUUUCAACUUCUGCUAAUCGGAGUGUAUAUUCAGGGCAACUUGAAUCUGUGCUCCUGGGAUGCAAUCCUCAAGCUUGGCCCAAAUAAAGUCUCCGCUGAUAUUAA